rnacentral:lncRNA from 1 species
CCAUCCCCCCCCCCGCUCACACUGCACAUCCAGGAUGUACUGCGUCUGCCUGCGCUGCCCGGGCAGGGCGGGAUGCGUGGCCUCGCAGGUGACGAUGGCGCCGUGGUCGCGACGCUCGACGCGGAAACGCACGACGCUGCGCAGGCUGAACACCUUGCCGUGCGCCUCCCGCAGCACAGAGCCUGCAGGGGGGGCACGGGGGGGGGCUGGGGGGUCUCUAUGGGGCUCUAUGGGGUCUCUAUGGGGUCUAAGGAGUUUUUAUGGGGGCUCUAUGGGGUCUCAAUGGAGUCUGGGAGGCUCCACAGGGUCUGGGGGCACUGUAGGAGUCUCUAUGGGGCUGGAAGUGCUCCAUAGGGGCUGGGGGGUCUCUAUGGGGCUCUAUGGAGUAUCUAUGGGGUCUGGGAGAUUGUUAUGGGGCUCUAUGUGGUCUCUAUGGGGCUCUAUGGGGUUCUAAGAGUCUCUAUGUGGUUCUAUGGGGUCUCCAUGGGGUCUCUAUGGGGUCUGGGAGGGCUCUAUGGAGCCUAAGGACUUUCUAUGGGCCUCUAUGGGGUCUCUAUGGGGCUCCAUGUAAUCUGGGGGGCUCUAUGAAUCUCCAUGGGGUCUCUAUGGGGCUCCAUGAGAUCUGGUUGGCUCUAGUAGUCUCUACGGGGCGUCUAUGGGGUCUGGGAGAUCACUAUGGAUCUCUACGGGGUCUCUAUGGGGCUCUAAGAGUCUCUAUGGGGCUCUCGGGGGUUGGGGGGGCACUAGGAGUCUCUCUCAGGUCUUUAUGGGGCUCUACGGGGUCUCUAUGGGGUCUGAGAAGUUUCUAUGGGACUCUCUAGGGUCUGGGGGGUCUCUAUGGAGCCCUAUGGAAUCUGUGGGCCUCUGGGAGUCUCUAUUGGGCUCUAUGGAGUCUCUAUAGAAUCUGGGGGGUUUCUACGGGGCUCUAUGGGGUCUGGGGGGUUCCAUGGGUCCCUAUAGGGUCUCUAUGGUGUCCCUAUGGGUCUCUAUGGAGCUCUGGGAAUCCCUAUAGGUCUCUAAGGGGAUCCUGGAUCCCUAUGGGUCUCUACAGGGUCCCUAUGGGAUUUCUAUGCGUCUUUAUACAUCCCCGUGGGUCCCUACAGGAUCUCAAUAGGUCUCUAUGGGUCCCUAUAGAUCUCUACAGGGUCCCUACAGAAUCUAUAUGCACCUUUAUGUACCCUUAUGAGCCCCUGUAAGUCUCUCUGCGUUCCUAUGGAUCUCUAUGGCACCUCAAUGGGUCUCCACGGGUCCCUAUGGCGUCUCUAUGGCUGUCCAUGGGGUCCCUAUGGGGUCUCAAUGGCUCCCCACGGUGCCCCGGUCCCACCCACGUCCCCCCCCCGUCCCGCCCCUCACCGUGGAUCUCCCUCCUGUCCCGGUACCACCGCAGCGUCGCCGGAGGCCUCGAGCGCGGCACGGCGCAGCUCAGCUCCACCUCGGCGCCCUCCACCGCCGCCUCCGCCGCCUCCACCACGGGGCUGUCCGGCGGCACUGCGCCACGUGACCGCGCGUCCGUCCCGUGCGCCACGUGACUUCGCGCCCCACAUGACUCGCGCCUCACGUGACCCCGCCUCCGUCCCGUGCGCCACGCGGCUUCGUGCGCCACGUG